AAAUUUGUUCAAUACUAAAACUGAACCAUAAUAAUAUUGUGUUAAACAAAAAAAAGUGUACUAUAAACUUCUCUCUAGACGUUUACUCGGUGUAUUGUGUACAAAAUACGAACUUGUGGACUAAUUUAGCUAGAUAAAAAUUUGUGUUGUGUGUAAAGCUUCGUUUUUAUGUUUAAUUACCUACGUAAAACAUUUAAGAUGGCUUUUAUGUAUGCAUUAGUUUUAUUUUUAAAUUAUUCAUCCAAUAAAGAAAUUGAUAUAUUGAAUAUCGUGGUACCGGAUAUAAAUAGCCCGAAUUAUUGUUAAAAAGUACUAAGUAUUGUAAAUUAUUACAAAUGAUAGUUAAACAUUGUGAAGGGUCUGCCCGACAUGGCCAACGUUUUAUGUUCAAAUAAGUGGCACAGCAGAAACAAUGGAAGAGGCAGAGGAAAAA